UGAUUUCAAAUAUCCUGUCCC
rnacentral:piRNA from 2 species